rnacentral:rRNA from 1 species
CAGCAGCCGCGGGAAUACGAGGGGGGCAAGCGUUGUUCGGAUUUAUUGGGCGUAAAGCGCACGUAGGCUGCUUUGUAAGUAAGAGGUGAAAGCCUGGUGCUCAACACCAGAACUGCCUUUUAGACUGCAUCGCUUGAAUCAUGGAGAGGUCAGUGGAAUUCCGAGUGUAGAGGUGAAAUUCGUAGAUAUUCGGAAGAACACCAGUGGCGAAGGCGGCUGACUGGACAUGUAUUGACGCUGAGGUGCGAAAGCGUGGGGAGCAAACAGGAUUAGAUACCCCAGUAGUCCCUGUCUCUUAUAC